rnacentral:rRNA from 1 species
AUGAACCAAACGUCGAGUUAAGGGGCCUAAACGAAUGCUCAUUCAGAUCCCAUCGAAAGGCGUUGGUUGCUAUAGACAGCAGGACGGUGGCCAUGGAAGUUGGAAUCCGCUAAGGAGUGUGUAACAACUCACCUGCCGAAGCAACUAGCCCUUAAAAUGGUAUGGCGCUCAAGCAUUCUCCCGAUACUCGACCGCCGGGGCAAUGCUGGCUGUUGUUUCAGGCCUCGAAGCCCCGGUGAGUAGGAGGGUCGCAGUGGUGAGCGCUGAAGGGGUCCGGCGUGAGCCGGCCUGGAGCCGCCACUGGUGCAGAUCUUGGUGGUAGUAGCAAAUACUCGAGAGAGACUCCCUUGAUGACCGAUGUGGAGAAGGGUUCCA